AUCUGCUCAACAAAAUAAUCAAAAGGCUCAUACCAAGUUCAAUGUAAAGGGGACUUCAAGGCUCAGAAUCAAAAAGUUGAAGGGAAAAGGAUCUGCUCAACACAAUAAUCAAAAGGCUCAUAUCAAGUUCAAUGUAAAGGGGAAUUCAAGGCUCAGAAUAAAAAAGUUGAAGCCUAGUGGAAGAUGGACAUAAGCCAUCGUUAGUAACAUAUACUACGCUAUUAACUGACCUCACCAAUCAAAAGCAGUUCAAUUCAAUUCCAUCCCUCCUAUCUCAAGUCGAAGAAAAUAGGUUGAAGCCUGACUCAAUCUUCUUCAAUGCUAUAAUAAAUGCUUUUUCUGAAGCUGGAAAGAUCGAUGAAGUCAUGAAAAUUUUCUAGAAAAUGGCUGAAAGUGGAUGUAAACCAACAACCAGUACUUUCAACACUCUCAUUAAAGGAUACGGUAUCGCGGGUAAGCCUGAAGAAUCAUAGAAGCUCCUUGAUAUGAUGUCUCGUGAAGCAAAGGCAAGGCCAAGCCAGAAAACAUACAAUAUAUUGAUUAAAGCAUGGUGCGAUCAGAAAAACUUUAGUGAAGCUUGGAAUGCAGUGUAUAAGAUGUGUGCUUCUGGCAUGAGACCUGAUGUUGUCACGUAUAAUACUAUAGCAAGAGAUUAUGCUGAAAAUGGAGAAACAAAGAGAGAUGAGGAUAUGGUUCUUGAGAUGGAGAAUGAACUAAGGCCAAAUGAAUGCACUUUGGCUAUUAUAGUCAGAGGUUACUGCAAAGAAGGUAAAAUAGAAAAUGCAUUGAGGUUUGUGAAUCAGAUGAAAGAUAUGGGCGUGCGACCAAAUGUCAUUGUCUUCAAUACUUUGAUCAAGGGGAUUUCUAAAUGUUGAAGAUAUGGGAGGAGUUGAUGAAAGGGAAUGAUAGGAAGAAAAGAAUAAAAUAAACAAAGGUAGGUGCAUAUUUGUUUCUUUGUUAUCAGUGACUUGGAGGAAAAAUUUGGCUUAUUUUCCCUCUUUUUUCCCCUCCUCUUGCACUUUCCUCUGGUAGCCAAACUCACAAAAGAAAUCACUUGAUUUUCAUUCCUUUUCUUUUUUUAAUCCCCAUAUUGUAUUGUGCAACUUGCAGAUAACACCCUCAUAUAUACCUUCUAUAGCACUUAUCUCCUCUCAAAUCAUUUUUAACACUUUAUAACUUCUCAAUUCACGAGAAAAUGAAGGUAUCUGCAAUUUAUCCUUCUCAAAAGGUCAAUCCAAAGAUGAUAAGUGCUAAUAAAGUACUUGAGGGGUUGUAAGUGCGGCUUUAGUUAUAGAUGGGGGGUUUUCCACAAUUUACCUUAUGGUCUUUGGUUGUUCAAAAGUAAUAGGAGAGAAGAAAACUUGGAAGAGAGGGAAGAAUGGAUCUUUAUACUUAAUUGGGAUUCAACUAAUCUGAAAGAAAGAGUACCUUGAAAAUGUUUCAUCAAUUUCUUCUCUGAUUCGAAUUCUAACUACAAUAAAGAAAUAAGUUCAUGCAAGGUUGUUUUUCUCAGCUGAGAGAAAAACUCAGCUUCAAAUUGUACUUUUUGCGCAUUAUAGUUCCUGUACAAAAUACUCAAUUUCCUUGAGAGUCUGCCGAGAUGUCUCAAAUGUACAGGUCGUUUAAAAUCAA